AUACGGAGGGUGCAAGCGUUAUCCGGAAUCAUUGGGUUUAAAGGGUCCGUAGGCGGACUAUUAAGUCAGAGGUGAAAUCCCACAGCUCAACUGUGGAACUGCCUUUGAUACUGGUAGUCUUGAGUUAUAUGGAAGUAGAUAGAAUGUGUAGUGUAGCGGUGAAAUGCAUAGAUAUUACACAGAAUACCGAUUGCGAAGGCAGUCCACUACGUAUAUACUGACGCUAAGGGACGAAAGCGUGGGGAGCGAACAGGAUUAGAAACCCAAGUAGUCC
rnacentral:rRNA from 1 species